rnacentral:rRNA from 1 species
GACGAACCGUGCGAACGUUGUUCGGAAUCACUGGUUAAAGGGCGCGUAGGCGGGCUGUCAAGUCGGUGGUGAAAUCUUCGGCUCAACCGGAAAAUUGCCUUCGAUACUGGCGGCCUGGAGGGAGGUAGGGCAUGCGGAACUUCCGGUGGAGCGGUGAAAUGCGUAGAUAUCGGAGGAACACCGAUGGCGAAGCAGCGUGCUGGACCUUUCUGACGCUGAGGCGCGAAAGCCAGGGAGCAAA